GAACCGAUCGUGGGUGUGGGUCGCCGAAGGGAGGGCAGGACGCGAUCAUUGGCAGGAAAAGGAACCGUAUGUGUUUUUUAGAUAAUAGGACAAUGCCCGUGCGUAGCAAUGGGAGCAUAGAUAUUCGUACCCCCAUCUGGGAGUAUAUAUUUAGGCCUCCUACACAUCUUGUCGAACGUAAAUAUCUUUAGGAUCCUCAUGCACACCAUACAAUAUUGUUAGGGUUUCACCGAUAAUCACUCUUUAUUAUAUUGUAACCAUGAUAGAUAGUACUUACUUCAUAAUAUGCAUUCGGCCUUGUCUUUCUUUUUCAACAAGUGGUGUAGUUAAUUGAGGUGCAGACCACAAAGCACGUAGUUCUACUGAUAACUGCUCUGCUGAGACAUAUAAUUUUUUCAUGUUCAGUUAUUAACGUUAUACAAAAAAGGAUGAAUAUGUUAUACAUUAUGAUUUGUACUUCCUCUGCAUUAUCCAAGCAGAAAAACAUUAAUCUAUCUAUACAAAGCGACAGUAACUGUUAAUUUCUUUUACUAAUCUCCCAAUCUUACUCACAUAAACAUAUAUAGCCUAUAAUUUCUGAAACCACCCUUGAUAUGACCGAGUAGCACACGUUUCCUUGGCCCCAGUAUAUUUCUUGUUCGUAUUCCUUAUCUACCUUGCAUCCAAACAAAAAUCAUGGAAACCACAAGGACAACAAUUAACCAAUCAGCCACAUGCAAUUCAUAUUAGCACAUAAGAGAAUCUAUACACUCUCAGCUCACAGACUAAUCCAAUGAAAUACAUCUCAUUUGAGAAAUGACCAAGGGGUGAAGUACACUAAUUUUCACCUUGUGCAGACUGAGUUUUGUUAGUACUGCAGAUCCUUGUAGUCAUACUGGCUUCAAGUGGCCAACUUGCCUUGCACCCACCCUUUGUACGCAGCUGCCGACGUACUUGUACUUGCACUUGCAUGGCUGGACUUGUACGCAGGAUUCUGAGUCGUUCAGAUUAUGUUCAGCUGGUUAGAAACAACCUUAGAAUAGAAACAUACCAUUUGUUCUCUUUUUCUGGAGCCUGGCCAGAUUGAGAGCUCGCCACUUUGCAGAAGAAUAACGUCAGAGUCCCUAUACCAGAAAGAACUUAAGAACAAAAUGAACAAAAGCACUCAAACAAUUGUGAAACAAUUUCCAGAAACAAAAUCCACCACACCCCGUUCUAGCAACCCAGUUGUUCAGAAAUUCAGUCAAGAUAGAUUGAACAGAUAGAUAAAACUGGAAGCAAUUAGGACUAUAUAAUGGUAGGAACAACCUGGUUGUCCAGAAAGGGAUUUGCCAAAUUCGAUUAGAAUUUCAUAUCGGGGAAAAAAUAUAGGGAUUUGCCAUUAUGGCAGGUCGAAGUAGAAUAGAGCUAGUGGAAACUAAAAGUCUGAAAUCUGAAAUUAUCUACCCACUGCACCUGACGGCUGGCUCUAGCAUUUGAGUUCACAUGUCCAAAUAAUGCAAUGUGAGAUCGUGUUGGAGAGGAACACGAGAUCACGGAUCACCCACAAAAAAAACAUGAGAUCACGGAGGACAAGCUCACCCGGCGGGGGGAGAUGUGGGCGCGCUUGGUAGCACGACGAUGGGGAGCUCGAGAAAGAGCACGACUGGAGCCGCCACCACCCACCGUUGGAGCGAACCAGCUGUGGUCGCCGACGUUCAG
rnacentral:lncRNA from 1 species